CUUAUGUAUCUUUUGCUUAUUACAGAAGAGCUGAUUCAAACAUUCUGCACAUCACUAGUGUCAAGUAAUUAUAAAGCAAAAUAUCUGCUACCAUGCCGUUGACAUCCAACAGUGUCUUUUCAUAAAAGGAUUUUUCCAGAAGCUCAUAAUACUUUCUCUCCAAGCAUAAUAUUGUCAUUAAAUUUUAUAUGCUUGUCAGUAUACUGUGACUGGAACAAGAUUUUUGUUUUUUUGUUUUGCUUUUUUUUCUAUAAGGAAAGCAAUUCUGGAUGGUCUUUUCUCAGCCUUCAAAAAGAAAAUGUAUCCAUUGAAUGCUGGAAAGCAUCAUUUUAUUGUUGUUCUAAAAAAUAUUGAUAAACUUCCUAGUGUGGUGAGUAUACUUUAAAAUGAUUUGAAAAUUGGCGGCUCCGUACUGCUAUCUAACAAAGUUUCAUAUCCAAUGAAAUACUGAAAUCUUAAGAAAAAACAAAAGCUUGGUUCAACAAAAUCAGAUUUUUAGACAUCCAUUGUUCUUAUUUGCACUUUUCUUUUUUAGCUUGUGAAAAUUCAUCACAUUUAGAAACUCAGUUAUCUCAGCACAUGCAGAAUCACAUUCCAUAUUCACAUCCAAGCCCUGUUCACUAUUUAUAUUUACAAUGUUGUUCGAAGUUGUGGUAUUUGCUUUACUAUUUUCAUCACUACUUUCAUGCUUCAGUUAACAACUUUUGAGCUACUGAUUCAUUUCUGUGAAUCGAGAAUAUAACACCUUAGAAAAGUAACAAUGAAAUGUGAAAAGUAACAAAUGUAAAUAAUAAUAUGCAAAUGAGGCAAUAAUGAGUUAGUCAAGAUAAAUCUGUUCCCUGAAUGAACCUGCAGGGAGAGUCAUGGCGGUCCCUGUAGAAUAAGUAGAUUCUUUCAGAAUAUAAUCGUUAAUCAUUUCUUUCAAAUUCAGUAAUGUAUGUGAAUAAAUCGUGUCUUUGCAUUUCCUCUGAAACCAUCAAACUGCUUGCAGACCAUGUGAAGGGUUGCUAGACCCACAGAGACCAACUAACCACACUCAGAUACAUUUGUUCUACCUACUGUUGCUUCUGUGUGGCUCCCCAGGCAAAGACACAGGUAUCCAUCUUGCCCAAAACCAGUUUUUCCAGCAGCGGAUCCAACCUGUUCUUUUGAGCUGUGGUUAAGACUCAAAGUUCAGUCGAAUUUGGUUACUCGCCUUAGAAAUAUUCAGUUCUACACAAGACAGAUUAUAAGGCAUCCACCACUAUUUGCAUCAGUUAGUUGGGCUUAUUAAGUGGGUCAAGGACUUUUUCUUAUAUUCUUGGGCUGCUCACAGAAUAGAUGUCUUGAGAAUUAGCAUAAAAUUUAGCUAACCAUGAAGGGAAUUGUCUGAAAUUAGGGUUGCCUGGGCUAAUACCUAGUACACACCAGGGAUUCUAAAUUCUAACCCCAAUUCUGCAAAUCACUCAUGGGGGGGGGUUUUAACUAAUGAUUUAGUCUCUUGUAACUGUCACUUCUUUUGAGCAAAGGAAUAGAUGUAGCUUUCUGGUGAAAAGGCAGACGUCAAAAAUGAAAAUAGAACAGACACACAGAAAAGGCUUCCCAUGAAACUAAGAUCCCAUGAAUGCACAAAUAGAUUGAUUUAUUAUUACUUUUAAUUUUAAAAAUAAUAGCUCACAUUCAUGGCUAUUGGGAUGAAAGUUAAUGCCUUCAGUGACAUCAUGGUUUCUGUCUUCCCCUUCCCCCCUCAUUUGCUUCUUAUUCCCACGCCUGGAGGGAAGGGGAAGUUUUAACAUCCAAGUUGUACGUCAUGAGGAGAUAGGGCUGGUGAGAGAUGGAUUGUCAUUGUUAUGGAUGUCCAGGAGCCACUGAUGUUGCUCGCUCCACAUUAAAAUGGGGGUAUACAGAAAAAUGUUGUCUCUGGAUUUAACCCUGUGGGAUCUUGGAAGGUUGGAUCAAGGAUACUGGUUGGGGUGGGGAUAGGAGAUAAAAGCGGAAGUAGGAGUGAGACCAAGGCAGAGGGGACUUCAAGUUUUCCUUGCAUAAAGGCCAACUCUGUUUGGAGCAAAGGGAGACCAAGUUGGGAUGGGAGAGGUGCAAUAUUGGACAUCCCUUUGUGUUCUGUGUUCACAAUCAGCUGCAAAAGGUGCCAGGUGGUACCCAGUGAUUGAGGGCAGGGUUCCAUUGAUUAAGAUGCACCGUAUCUUUUAGAAAGUACCACUUGAGGAGAGCUGAUCUCCUAGUUUCCUGGCCCGCCUCAGCAGCACCUGUGCUCUGUUCCCAACACAGGAGCAGAGGAAGCUGUGCCUGACUGGGACAGUUCUUCAGUCUCAGGGCUCACAGUUCAGAGCCCAUGUUUACCAAAGAAAUGUUCACCUAGGCCUUUAAGGCACUUUUUUAAAAAAAAUUGAGAGUUUCUUUAUAAAUACUGGAGACAUUAGGAGGGGAUAUUAUUUCUUAUUCUAUGCAUAGAAUAAGAAAUAAUUAUUAUAUUCUAUACCUAGAAUAGAAUAAGAAAUAAAGUCUCCUAGCAGAGUAAGCACUUGAAGCACAUAAUACAACUACACAGUGUUUAAACAUCUUUAUUUUAGAGGCAGAAAAAAUAUCAUUAUUUCUUUGGCAUGAGCUUGAAAGGAGAAUUUUUUUUCACCUAUAUAAACUUAUCCUUUGAGCCUCGAUUUAUAAAUUUGGAAUAGGAAUAACUAUCUCUCUGUCACAUAAACUAGAACAUUUUUAAGGUGAGGAAUAGACAAAAUAAAAGAGAAAAUGACUUGUAUCUCUAUUUGUGUGGGUGUUUUUAAAAAACAGUCAUCACUUUGGUAUGGAAGUGUCAUUAUAUUUGUGCAGGAUGACAAAUUUCAUAUUAUCUUUUUUAUCUCGUCAUAUAUUCACAUGGUGUUAACAAGUCAUUGCUACUCUGGCUUGAUAAAGACAGCCACAAAACUUCAAAACAAUCCUAAAAAUCAAGCAACCAUGGUGUUGCAAUAUUUAUAUCCCUGACAGGCGCCCUGCUGCUUGGAGUGAGAUCUCUUACUUCUGUUCUCUAUGCCUCUGGCUGCACCUGGUGCAAAUAGCACACGUUCUCAGCUACCAGGUCAUGCUUUCCAGGGCAGAUGCAAAUCACACCAGAUUGGUAGCAGUGGGACCCCUGCCUACUUCAUCCACACAUUCUUUUUGUUUCAUUGUGCAUGGAAGAAAUUAUCAAAUGCCAAAUAGUUUCAGAAAUGCCAGGGUAGAACGAAGAGCAAUGGGGCCAGGGGAUGAAAGCUUCAACAUGGGAAUUCAAAAAUAUCAGGUUGAGGGCAGGGCAUGCUCCUGCUGAUGCUGACUGCUCUGUGUGUGGACGCACGCGUGUGUGUGAAUGAAAGAGGAAAGAAAGGGUGUUGGUGGAAACUGACAAGCAACAGGAAAACUGUUGUCAGAAACAGAAGUAAGAUCUGAUCUAAUUAGAAAGGGUGCAAGAUCAACCAGAAGGAAUCUAUUAACUGGCCACUAGACUCAACAAGAAUCAAGGAGAAAAGGCUUAAAUAUAGGAAAAAGUUCCAGGCUGACAGAAAAUGUCCAAAGACAGCAAGAAAUUCAGAGAGAUGUUUACACGGAGACUGGGGGAGCAUGGUCAGCGGAAAGGCAGAAUACUACUUAAAGGAUAAUACAGGCUGAACCAAGAAAAAAUGCUGGAGAACUCAAAAAGAAAGAAAUUUAUUUUGUUUCUCACCAGAGAAUGAAGUGCCCACCCAAGAGAGUUGGGGGAAAACAAGGACUGGAAGAAAGACAUGAGGUUCUGGAAACGUCUCUCUACCUGGCUUGGGAGCACAGCUAGGAAAAAAGAAGGCAGGAAGUGAAACAUUGAAAAUUGAGGUGAAUUGAAUGAAUGAAUGUCACUCAUACUUAAAUACAUACUUACCAACAUAUGGGAUAUCAAACUCUAUGUGGAAAAUAUGGUUUUUUUUUUUUUUUUUUUACCACUAAGCUCUCUUUAACUAUGUGUGUUAUUCUGAAAACCUGCUAGGUGUAGGAAGCCAGAUGAAAGUAAAAGAGAAGAGACGAAGUCAAUUCUCACUCCAAAUUUUUGUAAUUCUGCAAAAGUGUUUCCAAGAUCUGGUUAUUGAAGGACUCCUCAAGAGGUGGCUAUGGAAAAUAUCUAGUAGCAGAAAGCCAGAGAGCUUUCUUUGUGAAGUGUGCAGGGCCUGUUUUACCACCGUCCCACCUCUGUGGCUCCAUAAGUAGAAUGUAUUUUUUUUCCACUAUGGCAGCUUUGGAAGCCUCAAGCAACUCUAAGCCCAAACCAAGUCUAAUGGAUGUGGGAUAUUAAAAGCAGGAUAAGAAAAAGAAGUGGUGUAUUUUUAUCCAAACCACAGAUGCCUCACCAUCUCCUGCAAUUCAUUGGUAAAUAAAGCCACAGUGCUGUUUAAUAUUCUGGGGAUUAUAGGCCUGUUAUUUGAUACUCAUGACCCAGUUGCUCUGGUAUGUCAUCCAUUUAAACACUACAGGUUUAUUUUGCACCAUCUUGUAGGUGGGCUGGAGCCAUUUGGGUCUGAAGUCUUGGCCAUCUUUCAAGUCGCAGCCUGCAUUUUCAGUGCCCAAAAUGUUUCAUAUUCUAUCCUACAGUUAAGUCAAUAAAGAUGAAAAUCAUAUGACCAGUCAUUCUCACUGUCCAAUUACUUAACCUAAUUUAUCUUCUUUAAAUUUCAUUCAAUAACUUGAACCCUAGCUCUUCUCACCCUCUGCCCAUCCCAACCCCCACUCAGUGUUUGCACAGUUAAUCAGUUAGAUAGAUGGAGAAUUUAAGAACCAGCUCAAAACUGUUUUUUUUUUUUAAUUUUGGCAAUCAGUUUUAUUUGGGAUAAACCUAUGUAUGAAAUCUUAAAAAUCUUAAUGUAGCUGAGUAAAGCUUUCUCAACGUUCCCAUAAUACAAAUUUGGUCCCGGUCUUUUUUUUUUUUUUUUUUUUUUUUUUUUUUUUUUUGAGACACAGUCUUGCUCUGUCAUCCAGGGUGGAGUGCAGUGGCGCGAUCUCGGCUCACUGCAAGCUCCACCUCCCGGGUUCACGCCAUUCUCCUGCCUCAGCCUCCCGAAUAGCUGGGACUACAGGCGCCCGCCACCAUGCCCGGCUAAUUUUUUGUAUUUUUAGUAGAGACGGGAUUUCACCAUGUUAGCCAGGGUGGUCUCGAUCUCCUGACCUCGUGAUCCACCCACCUUGGCCUCCCAAAGUGCUGGUCUCAGUCUUUAAAAAGGAGAUACACCUAAUAUCCCUUUGUGUAGAAAUAUUUGAUGUAGAAAAGUAAGGGAACAUCAAUUGAACAUUCACUGAAAUAUUAUUUUCAUUUGGAGUUUUCUAAUAUUAUUUCUCCAUCCACGUUCUUCAUGGAUCAUCUUUAUGUCAUCUGUCAGAAAAAAAACCAAGGGGUCAGUGCUUGGUGGCUCCUACAGAGUCUAGAUGCUGCCAGGACAGAGCUUGUUUCUCAGUUCACCAACUUUCUUUCUCCCCAGCUCUUUCCUGAAAAACCUUACACUUGAGGACUUUUAUUUUAAAGGAAAACCAUCUAGCUCUGCAAACACUUGAGCAUCAGUUUUGAUAGCACCGUGGGAGCUCAUUGAAGGAAUAUGUUAUAAAGCAGAAGACAUAUAUCCUUUUUUGUGUUGAGUAUAAUGAGAUAUGCUGAUUAAUCUAACUCACUGAGGCAAGUCACUACAUAGUUUUAAAAGGUCUACUGUUCAAUGCCCUGUAAUUAAAUUAAAGUUAAAAUACUGUAAUUAUUUAAAACCAGGAUGCCAUUUUUUUCCUGACUUUGUGAACUUAUAGGCUCAAAUGAAUGCAGAGAUAAAAUAGCAUAACACAAGUUGGCUAUAUUUAAUCUUGUCUAUCUUGUGUUUGGAAUUAAAUUACUUAGGAGUUCAGAGGUUAAUAAGAAACACAAGAAUUAUCCUCUAUAUAAUAGCUUUAUAUUGCUGAGUUUAAACAUAAAUGGAGAGGAUUAUUUUGAUUAUUUACAUGCAAGCACACAAGCUUAACUGCACACACAUGUCACACUCCAGUAGUCUCCUCACCUUUGCUGAGGGCCUUUUAUGUGACAGGAACUGUAUUUUACAGACACUCUCUCCUGUAAUCCACAGAGCCACCCUGUCAGACAGUUAUCAUUAGGUUCACUUUAGAGAUGCUAUCAUCUCAACUUGGGUAUUUCAAAAGCAAUUCAAACUCUAGCACGAACAAAUAGAUCUCUUUAUGCUCUUGCCCUAUCAUUACUCCCAUUUCCACCCCAGUCUAGGCUUUCCCAUUGUUUUCCACUUUGAUCAAUGGCCUCACUCUUUGUUCAGCCACAGAAGCCAAAACAAAAACAAAACAAAAACCUGAGGGUUAUCCUUGACUUUUUCUUCUCCUUUACUUCCAUGUGCAAUCACUAUUCAGUCUUAUAAAUUUUUGUCUCCUACAUAUCUGUCAAGCCUGCCCUUCAUUGUGUCAGUCACAUUACAAAACUAGAUCAAACUGCCAUUGUACUUUAUCUGGAUCAUGGCGAUAUUCUACAACUCAUCUUCCAGCAUUCAUUCCUCUCCAUUUGAAGUUCUUAAGGCAAAUUUCAUCAUGCUACUUCCCUGCUUAAAACACCUCUAUGGCUUUCCAUAACUCUAUGAAAAAAAAAUUUAAUACAGCCCACCAACCCAACCUGAUUUUGCCUGCUCUGCCUCUUCAAGCUCAAAUUGCAUCCUCUCUACCUCCUUCCAAGUCUUCUAGCUAUGAUGACUUCCUUCCUUUCUUUUUUUUUUUUUUUUUUUUGUGAGACUGUCACCCAGGCUGAAUGGAGUGGUGCAAUUACAGGUCACUGUAGCCACAAUCUCCCGGGUUCAAGCUAUCCUCCCACCUCAGCCUCCUGAGUAGCUGGGAGUGCAGUUUCACACCACCACGUCUGGUAAAUUUUUGAUUUGUUGUAGAAACAGAGUCUCACUAUGAUGCCAGGAUGGCCUCAAACUCCUAGACACAAGCAAUCCUCCUGCCUUAGCCUCCCAAAGUGCUAAGAUCACAGGGAUGAGCCACCGUGCCUAGAUUACCUUCUGCUUCUUAAACAAAUGUUUCAUGCUCUGACCUGCCUCAGGACCUUUGAACAUGGUGUUACGUGUGGUUGACUACUAUUUCCCCAUCCUCUUUGCUUAGUUAAUGCCUACAAAUAAUAUUUUGCUUUUAUUGUCACCUCUUCUGGAAAGUUUUCCUUGAUCCCAUCCUAGGAAAUGUCCUUUGUUAUAUGUUCUCAUAGCACCCUAUCUCUUUUCUACGUAGCACUUAGCAUAGGACAUGAAUAUACAUUUAUAUGUGUGGUUAUGUUUUUAUUACUUGUCAUUUCCAUUUGACUACAAUUUUUUUGAGGUUAGGAACCUUGUCUUUUUGCAUUCCAUGUAACCCCAGUGCUCAGCAAAAUUCCAUAUUUAGCAAACACUUUGGCCACGUGCUUGAUUCUGUUCUUAAUCUGACUUUAACUUAAUAGCUUCUCUAAUUACUGAAUAAAGAAGGGAACAAAUUUCUUUGAAGACAGAAUAGAAAAAACCUGUGGAAGCAAAUAUACAACGUAUAUUUUUAUUUGAAGUAUUUCGAUAGAAAAAAGUGUCAUUGACGUGUCAUAAUGCCUAGAAUUUCCACAAUUUCCUCCUUCGAGUAGAGUCAUAUUUUCUAGAAACUCAAAUAUGGCAGAAAAUGUGUCACCUUGAUUAGAACCAUCAGUAUACAUGAAUUCAGCAAGUAGGCAGUAGAAAACACAUUCUCAAGAGAACUGGUCAAAAGAGAGGUAAUUUUGAUCAAGAAAAAGCAUUAUAAACUUAUUGAAAGUAACAAAGCUUGAGAGAAUUCUUGAGUAAGGUGGCGGCAUGGAGCAAAAUAUGCCUAGAAAGGCAGUCCCUCUUCUCACAAGAGUGUGCUCAUAGGUCUAUCUGUGGAAUGUGUAAAACAAUCAUCUGUGGUCCCAGCUCUACGAUGGGUGCCAUUCACAAAGACACAGCAGUUCAGCAUCCAAAAUCAUUAAAAAAAAUUUAACCUACUUCAAUAUCUUUUUAAGGCAUCAAAGGAAAAGCUGAUUUGUAAUAUAAAGCAAAACUCCUCUAAAAUCCUCAUUCCCAUCUUCUUCACUCCAUUUUACUCACAUGCCACAGCUACCCCAAUAACUGCAAGCCCCACCUCCACAACUCCAAGCUCCUUGAUGUUCUUAUAAACCCCGCUCUUGGAGGCUUUCUUAUCACUGAUCUUUCUUCUCUAUGCCUCUGGAUUUUUUCUCAUAUAUUUAAUUUCAAUAGUUUCUGGGCUACUGGUGGUUUUUGAUUAAAGUUCUAUAGUGGUGAAUUCUGAGAUUUUCUUGGACCCAUCCCCCUUGCAGUGUACACUGUACCCAAUAUGUAGUCUUCUAUCCCUUACCACCCUCCCAAUCUUCCCCUUUGAGCCCCCAAAAUCCAUUAUAUCAUUCUUAUCCCUUUGCGUGCUCAUAGCUUACCUCCCAUUUAUAAGUGAGAACAUACAACAUUUGGUUUUCCAUUCCUGAGUCACUUCACUUAGAAAAAUGGCUUCCAGCUCCAUCCAAGUUGCCACAAAAGACCAUUGUCUUUUCAUUCCUUUUUAUGGCUGAGUAGUAUUCUAUGGUGUAUAUGCACCACAUUUCCUUUAUCCACUCAUUGGUUGGUGGUAUGCCUCGGUUUUUUUAUGAGUUAGGUCAAUUAUCUGAGCUCUCUGCCUGUUUUUGCCCAAUUGCCAGAUCCUCCAAACACCAGGAGUGGACCCAUCAGGCAGAAAUCUUAUUUCCUUAGAGUAAGGAAACCAGAGAAAACUGAAAAUGUUUUCAGUGAUUUUUAAAGACAUGAGUGAAUGUCUUUUAAAAUUACUAUUUUUUUCCCUUGUUGAAAAUAUGCAAUUUUUUACUAUGGAAAGCAAAUAAAACCCUGCUUUGUAUUUCAGAAUUUAUGAGGUAGAUUUCACAUAGUAUCAUGUUUUGGAAAGCUAAGACUUUUUUCCCCUUCUUUGGGCAUUGUAAGAUUAGGCGUAGGGGUAGAUAGUGCAGAUUUUCUGGUUUCCUUUAAGCAUACACUCUUUGGAUGAAAUGCGUCUGAUUAGGGCAUUAUAUUGGAGAGUCAGAAAGGAACAGGAGAUAUUAGACACCAAGACAAGAAGUCUGAGCAGAUGGCAAAAGAGAGGAGAAUGUGGAUAGAGAGAUUAACACUAAGGAUAACCCAUCCAAGUUGCCAUUUUGCUUCAGCUAGGCUCUGGCAUGGAGGUAUCAGAGAAGUAACUCUAUGAGCCAUCAAUAAUACAGCCCAGGGAAAAUUGCCUUGAGAUAAUUAACCCAAAAUUGAGUCUCCAAAUUGUUUAUUGCCAUCCACGCACACAAAUAAGCCAAAGACCACAUAUCUUCAGAAAUGAGAGAUGGCCCCUUGUUGAAAUCUCUAAUGCUCUGCUUGUUGCAAACUCAAGUUAGCACUGGACUCUGAAGUGAAACACUCCAAGUAAUGUAGUUCAAAGUGUGGCAUGCUUUCCGCAGUGAAGCACAUUUAACGAUUUUCUCAUUUGAUACCUAAUGAGAUUUUUCAAACUAAUUGUGGGCUUACUAUAACUUUUUGAAGGAAGACAGGAACAACAUUAAGAAAACAAACUAUUGCAAUGAUCCCAUGCUGGGGAGAGUUGCAUAAGAGACUUUUGGUCCCAGAAUUCUGGUCUUAAGUGAUAUGGUAACCAAAGUAUGCUUCAUCAAAUUAAUCAAGAAAGAGUUUUUAAUGCAGAUAUGUUAGAUCAUAACAGAGUUUGAAAUCUCUAAAAGCCUUACAGAUAGACCAGGUCAUUACAAAGACUAGUCAACUGCAAACCAUCAUUGGUUACAUUUUAAUUUAAAUUUCCAGCAAAAUUUCUAUGAAAAUGCAUACAAGGUGGUUUCCAUUAGAGUCAUGAAGUUUCAUUACCUGGAAAACCUAUGAAAUAUAUUCUAGCAAUUCUUUAGUUUACUUACAAGCUCUUCUACCAUGUACAUCACCAUAAAGAUUUUUGACAUGAUGCUUUCCUAGUACAAUAUAUUUGGAAUAAAUAACUUAUAUAUUCUCACUCCCCUCUAAAUCCUCACGUUGAAAGAUAAAAUGAUACUAUUUAAUUUUCAGGCUUAUUUUUUGAAUUAUUUUUCAAAGAAAAAGUAAGAGAAAAUAGAAAAAUGAAGGGAAGGAAAUCUGCUAAAAGCCUGAGAUUAAAUGUAACAGCCACUGAGAGGCCAUUGCCACAUACCUAUAUAACUUAGUUGGGAG
rnacentral:lncRNA from 10 species